rnacentral:rRNA from 1 species
AACGAACGUUAGCGGCGCGCCUAACACAUGCAAGUCGCACGAGAAAGGGCUUCGGCCCCGGUACAGUGGCGCACGGGUGAGUAACACGUGGGUAAUCUGCCUUCGAGUGGGGGAUAACAUUCCGAAAGGAGUGCUAAUACCGCAUAAGACCACGCCUUCGAAAGAAGAAGCGGUCAAAGCUGGCCUCUAUAUAUAAGCUAGCGCUUGAGAAUGAGCCCGCGGAGCAUCAGCUAGUUGGUGAGGUAAUGGCUCACCAAGGCUUAGACGCUUAGCUGGUCUGAGAGGAUGAUCAGCCACACUGGAACUGAGACACGGUCCAGACUCCUACGGGUGGCUG